UACGUAGGGGGCGAGCGUUAUCCGGAUUUACUGGGCGUAAAGCGCGUUAAGGCGGUUGGCAAAGUUGGUGGUGAAAUUUCAGGGCUCAACCCUGAAACUGCCUCCAAUACUGGUCGACUCGAGUGCGAGAGAGGAUGGCGGAAUUCCCGGUGUAGUAGUGAAAUACGUAGAUAUCGGGAAGAACACCUGAGGCGAAGGCGGACUAUCUGGCGGUGCGACUGACGCUGAGGCGCGAAAGCGUGGGGAGCAAACAGG
rnacentral:rRNA from 1 species